rnacentral:rRNA from 1 species
CGGUGAAUACGUUCCCGGGCCUUGUACACACCGCCCGUCAAGCCAUGGAAGUUGGGGGUGCCUGAAGUACGUAACCGCAAGGAGCGUCCUAGGGUAAAACCGAUAACUGGGGCU